rnacentral:lncRNA from 1 species
GAAGCAGAACGCCGACGUGGCCCUGCAGAACCUCCGGGUGGUCAUGAACAGUGCACAGGCUUCCAUCAAGCAACUGGUUUCCGGAGCUGAGACACUGAAUCUUGUUGCCGAAAUCCUUAAAUCUAUAGACAGAAUUUCUGAAGUUAAAGACGAGGAGGAAGACUCUUGAGGACCCCUGGGUGUUCUCAGCAUGAAGCUCCGUGUAUACCCUGAGGUCACCACCGCUCGAUCUAAAUGUGCAGUUGUGUCCUUAAAUAUGCAGUCUUCACCCAGAGUAAAGUGUUGAUCGCAAGAGUCCAGUGUCGUGCCCUCAGCCAGUUCUUGGCCACCACAAUGGGAGCAGCCCUGGCCGAGUUGUCUCUGUGGUUUCUAUGCAGCCCUUCUUGGCGAAAUUCCUGCGAUCUUAUAGAUUCUAAUGAGCUCUUGGAAGACAUUGUCAUAAAAGCCAGUGAUUUUAAGAAAAAGAGUGGUUCUGGAAUCAAUGUUUUCCAGUCCCAUCCCAGAACAUCAGUUGUAAGAUAAGUACAAUUGGUUGUCCUUGAUUUCAUAAGUAGAACAAACACUAAAUGUGCCUCUGAGAUGGCCACCCCGGGCAGGGACCUGUGCCUUCCGCCGAUGCUCAGGGCUCCCUCUGGCUCCCGGGUCACUCUUGUGGCCCCAGUGGGUGGUCCCUGCAGUCAUGGCCUGAGUGCGCAGGGGCCACCGCGUGGCUGCUGCUGUCCUCCUCCGGGACCCACGGGGACCAAGGUCACACGUUCCGUGCUGUGAAGCUGUCCAGAUGUGCCUCUUUGGCUGGGGGUUCUGGUGGACGUUUCAAGUGGCAUUUUGUACAAUGCAGGUUAGAAUUCAGGAAUUUCAAGUAUGUGCCCGGGUCUGUCAGGUCCCAGUUGCCUUUCUGACGGCCCCCCUCAGAGGGACGGCGAUGAGCACUAAAUGCUUUUUUGACUAUUUUCCUAUAGAUUUUUUUUAAAACUUUUUUUUCCUCCUGUUCCAAUUGAUAGCUUUCUUAUUUAAUAAAUUCUGUAGUUCAC